AGAUAUUACUGGAUCUUGGACAAGUGGGUCUCUAAGGAACAUCAAAGACCCUGAGAAGCCAAAAGUUAUGAAAUGCAUCAGCAGUGGGUUGAAGACAAGACCUCUCCUUUUCCUGCUGACAUUUCUUCCAUGAGCAGUACCCAGACAGCCGACAGAAAGAGCCCAGGAGGGUUACUGGUUCUCAUUAAAACUGUUCUCCCCUGAAAACAAUGCAACA
rnacentral:lncRNA from 1 species